AGAAAGAAAGAAAGAAAGAAAGAAAGAAAGAAAGAAAGAAAGAAAGAAAGAAAGAGGAAGGAAGGAAGGAAGGAAGGGAAGAAGGAAAGAGGAAAGGAAGGAAAGAAGGAAAGAAAGAACAGCCUGGCACAAGCUGCAACCUGGAUGCACCCUGAAGACUUGAGGCUCAGUGAAAUAAGCCAGUCACAGAGACAAAUACUGAGUGAUCCCUCUCACAUGAGGUCUCUGGAACUGUCAGUCAUAGAGACAGAGGCUGAUUGAGAGAAGCAAAGGAUGCCACGUGAAGGGAGUCACCACUGUGCAGAAAGGUACACAGGCCAGCAACUGGCUUCUCAUGUUGAGGACAACUGAGCAGCCCCACAGGCAAUGGAUGGAACCCCGCAGGGAGACUGCACCCCCAAAAGUCCCUGGAGACCCACGUGAAGAGGCCAGCUGACAAGUGCCAACAGGAUUUAAAAUGAUCGAGUGGAAGGCAGGGAGAGAAACACUGAUGAGAUGGCUCCUGCGGAACCAGUGACUGUUCGAUGCAAGCUGUCUGCUGAGAUGCACCUUCUCUGAGAGAAGAGAGACAAGUGGGAGAACCUGCCCCUGGCUGAGGGAGGGACAUGCUGCAGCCUGGCGCCCUCCUCAGGAUGUUUCCAGGAGAGUCCAGGCCACCCCAGCAGACUCCCUCCCUGUCUCCUUCACAUGAAUUUCCAUGGCCAUCUCAGUGCUGUGGGAAGCAGAUGUAGGACCACAUUUUCAAAACAGCCUUCGCCAAGUGCAGCCUCAGUAUAGCAAAGGCAGUUGGAAGCAGCAGUGAGAGUAGCAAAAAAGGUGGAAUAGUUACAUUUACCAUGUGUCGGUUAAUAGUAGGGAUCAAGAGAUAAAAAGGAAGAAUAUUAUAAAAUUAUUUUAUUAUCAAACCUUCAGAUCUAUUGAGCCAUAUGUUUAUUGCUGUGUCACAUUCCUCUGCUUCAUAAAUAAAGU